AAAUUGAAGAGUUUGAUCAUGGCUCAGAUUGAACGCUGGCGGCAGGCCUAACACAUGCAAGUCGAGCGGAAACGAGUUAUCU
rnacentral:rRNA from 2 species